AGAGUUUGACUCCUGGCUCAGGACGAACGCUGGCGGCGUGCUUAACACAUGCAAGUCGACGGAAAGGCCCUGCUUGCAGGGUACUCGAGUGGCGAACGGGUGAGUAACACGUGGGUGAUCUGCCCUGCACUUCGGGAUAAGCCUGGGAAACUGGGUCUAAUACCGGAUAGGAGCCAUUUUUAGUGUGAUGGUUGGAAAGUUUUUUCGGUGUAGGAUGAGCUCGCGGCCUAUCAGCUUGUUGUGGGGGCAAUGGCCUACCAAGGCGGCGACGGGUAGCCGGCCUGAGAGGGUGGACGGCCACAUUGGGACUGAGAUACGGCCCAGACUCCUACGGGAGGCAGCAGUGGGGAAUAUUGCACAAUGGGCGCAAGCCUGAUGCAGCGACGCCGCGUGGGGGAUGAAGGCCUUCGGGUUGUAAACUCCUUUCGCUAGGGACGAAGCUUUUUGUGACGGUACCUAGAUAAGAAGCACCGGCUAACUACGUG
rnacentral:rRNA from 1 species